rnacentral:misc_RNA from 1 species
UACGUAGGGGGCGAUCGUUGUCCGGAAUUAUUGGGCGUAAAGAGCUCGUAGGCGGUUUGUCGCGUCUGGUGUGAAAACCUCAGGCUCAACCUGGGGCGUGCAUCGGGUACGGGCAGACUAGAGUGCGGUAGGGGAGACUGGAAUUCCUGGUGUAGCGGUGGAAUGCGCAGAUAUCAGGAGGAACACCGAUGGCGAAGGCAGGUCUCUGGGCCGCAACUGACGCUGAGGAGCGAAAGCAUGGGGAGCGAACAGG